GACAGAGGGUGCAAACGUUGUUCGGAAUUACUGGGCGUAAAGCGCGCGUAGGCGGCUCCGCAAGUCGGCCGUGAAAUCUCCGGGCUCAACUCGGAGGGGUCGGGCGAGACUGCGGGGCUCGAGGUGGGCAGAGGGCAGUGGAAUUCCGGGUGUAGUGGUGGAAUGCGUAGAGAUCCGGAGGAACACCAGUGGCGAAGGCGGCUGCCUGGGCCUGGCCUGACGCUGAGGCGCGAAAGCGUGGGGAGCGAUCCGG
rnacentral:rRNA from 1 species